ensembl:lncRNA
AUGAGGCGUCUGAGCAGCGUUUGGCUGAGGAAGUGUAAGGACAAGGACAGAUGGAUGGAAAGAAGGACAAGUGAGCCUUCAAGGGGUGGAGAAGAGGAAGAGGACGAAGAGAAGACAGACCUGAGACAAAGACAGACCCACAGGCAGAUGCUUAGGACCUCUGAGCCAUGUGGACAAAUCGACAGAGAUGAAAAGACCGAGAAGAAAAAGAAUGAGAGGAGAGGGUCUGAGUUCAUGAUGGAGGAGGACAGGAGGAGGAUGGAGACGAGUAGAGGGACACAGCAGAGAAAGUCUACAUCCUGUUUCUUGGUGGAGGAUCCAGCUGAAGUUGGUAGGAAGACAGCGAGGCGCCGGUCAGAGCCCUGUGGUGUCCUGCAGGUCCAGGUUCUUCCUGUUUCCUGCAGGAAGAGAUGGACAGGACGCAGAAUGUCCUGUAACGAGGAGGUGAACAGGAGACAGGGGGACAGUCAUGUAACCAGGAGGACAUCCUCAUCAAACAGUUAAACAUCUCUAUGGGUGAGCUUUAUGACGAGUGUGUCACUGCAACCAGCCUUCUGGAGCACCUCACCAAAGGACCUCAGGAGAAGGAAAAGUGGCAGUUCAAGGGAACAGCAGUGGAUGGAAAUUCUUCAGGCAGCUGACCUCCCCAACAUCCAGCCUGUUGUAUCCUUUGUACUCAGCAUCCCAUCUUCCACUGGGUUUGCAGAGAGGAUUUUCUCUCUCGUGAAGAAUAAGUGGACUGAUGUGCGGAACAAAUGUUAUGUUGUGUUGUCUGAAGUCUGUUGCAUAUCUGUCUGAGGUGUUUUUUGCAGAGCAAAGCUGCCCUCCCUGUGGAGGGUAUCUCUGAAGUGCCUUUUUUCCCUCCAUCUGAACCCAUCCUCAUAUAAACCCUCUGACCUCUAUUAAGGUAACGCGACUCAGGUUGUGAAUGACCACAGUCACCAAUUCUUGUCAUGUGUCUUGCCCAUGUAUGUCUGAUCUCUGAAUUGUGUGUACUGAAACUCUAAUCUCCCUCUGGGAUUAAUAAAGUAUCUGUGAUUGAUUGAUUGAUUGAGUGAGUGAUUGAUUGAUUCUACUGAAUUAGAUGUGAGCUCAUUGUCACUCUAAAUUAUGACAUGUCUUGCUCAGUUUUAUUCUGCAGUACUGAAAGACAAACAACUCCUAAAUGCAGCAAGACCUCAAAAGAAAUACAAAUGGAGGAAAUAGUCUGUUUUCACAUAAUGUAGCACUGAGCUUUUGAGUUCAUGAGUUUGGGCUUUUUUUUUAAACUUCAACUGUAGGCUACAGUCAAGGCCUUUGAGGCACAAAUAUGUUUACAGCUUCUCCAGACUUUCUGUUUGCACUUUUCUAAUUAUACUAAAUGUGCACUGUUAGAGUUGUGUUCUUGAUAGGGAUGCACCGAUCAGGUUUUUUGCUGCCGAUCACCAAUACCGAUCACCGAUACCGAUCACGUGGAUUGGCCAGAAAUUUUCUACAACAUUAUAAUGAGUGCUACAAACUACAUAAUCUGGGAAUAAAGGGAAUGUAACCUAAUCCAAAAUGGUCUGUAUUAAGGUUGUCACGGUGUGAAAAUGUAACCUCACGGUUAUUGUGACCAAAAUUACCACGGUUUUCGGUAUUAUCGCUGUAUUUUUUUAAACGUGCUACAUUUUCACACAAUUAAAUAAACCCUGUAUGUCAGGAAAUAUUGUCCUCAGUUUGUGUCUAAAUUUUGCCUAAAAUGUGUUAUUUUGUAAUUAUGUUGUUUAUUUGUUUACAUUUUUCCCCUUUAGUCUUUAAAAUACCAAUAUUUGCCCAUAACUUCUUAUUUUUUGUCUGUUUGAUGUCAUCAUUUUAAAAAUAUUAGAUCAGAUGAUACUCAGUACUCAAGUAGCCUUCUAAUCAGAUACUUUUUUACCCUUACUUGAGUAAUAAACCCUAUAUCAGGAAAAUAUCGUCCUCGGUUUGUGUCCUUCCAGUGAGCUUUGCAGAUGUGGGAAAAUGUCAUCAGGCAGUAAUCAUUGUUAAAUUCAUAAUUAUUCUCGGAGAGAGACCAACUCUUAUCUGCCCCUGGGAGCCCCGUAAUGCAUAGCGUCAUUUCAACAUGGCGGUGUCCGCGACACGGUUUAUAUGCAGGUAGCGGCGCUGCGGCUGCUUUAUAUAGCGACUCGUUGCAUUCUCCCUCAACCCAAAUCCUCGGAUCACGCAUUUUAGCUAAAACGCUAACGUUAGCUUGCCUUGCGUUGACUGUAGAGUUGUGGGUGAUGGUCACGCAGAUGUGUCAUGAGAUUUGAAGCGUUGCUGCCUUUCACAGACACUUUUUCUGCACGUGCUGCAAACAGGAUAGCCGUCUUCUAUCAGCUGUCCCUCGGCAUUCUUCAAAUAUCCAAAAGAUGCCCGUACUUCCCACUUUGUCUUCUUUGAGGGAUAAUAAAUGUCCUGAGCGCUGCCGUCUCCUCCUUUGGCCAUUAUUUCAGCUUUAGCUUCAAGAAAGUUUUGGUUGUAAACAACAAAGUGCGCAUGUGCCGCCGGCAACUUCAGCAGAUGAUACGGUGGCUGGUAAGGGUCACCGCGCCUACACCGCAGCCACGGUAAUCCACCAAGAUAAUAUAGUUUUUUAAAAACAAGACGGUUAUUAUUAUUGUCAACUUUUUUUUUACCGGGGUUUACCACUACACUGGUUACCGUGACAACCCUACCUGAUCGGUCUGCUUUGAUCUAUUUGAAAAUUCCAAUCAAAACCGAAAGGGGAGCUAUCGGCCGAUUACGAUCAAAUGCCGAUCCAUCGGUGCAUCCCUAGUUCUUGAUGGUUGGGGUUUAUUGGAGAAGAAGAAACCAUUUUUAUAGCACCUCUCAAGAUGAAAUCACGAGGCUCUUCACAAGAACAAACAUAAAUAAAUAUGGAAAUGAUUUUGACUAAACUCAGUUUAACUUCAAACUGGAAAAUGAGAAGGAGGACACAACUGCAGAAGAAGACGGGAGUAGAGGCAGAACGGUCAGAAACCGCAGUGUGAAGAGAAGGCGGUCCGUUUGUUUGUAGGACAGGGAUUUAAACCGGACACUGGGGGUGCUAAAGCAAGCCUGGACUGUCCCGGGUUCCUUUAGGCCUGCAGCUGGUUUCUGCAGUGAGACCAGUUUGCAGGGUUCUGCUCCUCACUGGCGAGUGUUGAAAGUUCAGGAAAAGGAGGAUCAUGUGAAAACAAACCUGAUCCUGUUGUUGCUGUCAGCUCCAGCUCAGCCGCGCCCCACACUCGGCCCAUCUGCCCCGCGUGUCGGUGUGUAUCACUUCACCGGGUUCUAAUCUCCUUGUGCUUCGCCGUGUUCUGUCCAACCGAUCACACUUGAGUCAUCACGCUCCAGGAAACCAGCUGAAGGUUUUCUCUGGAACUGAUCUGGGAUCAGGCUGAGGUGAGUUUAACUCCCAUGUGAGAGGAAACCUGAGCAAGUAAACCACCUCAGAGCAAAGCUGCUGCUGCUUUCACUGACAUCCUGUCAUUUGUACUCUCAUCUGCCCCUGAAGCUGUCCUUCAGAUUUGUCCUUGUUUCACCCUUGUUGUCAUGGAGACUGCUGUGGUUUUUGGAGCAGCUCAGCCGAGAUGGAUCAGUCACGGAGGAAGUGAUGAUUGAUGCUCCUGGACCAACAUGGAUGACCUAGACUAAACAGGGGGUGUUUCUCAAUGUCAAAGAACCUUGCCUUGAUGUCUUGGCCCCACCCCGGUUGCCUAGGAGAUAUGUCAUCAGGAACCGCCAAGACGUGUUCCAGUGUUCAUGUUCUACCGAGGCGUGUGUUCUUUUAUACGUAUUAGUUUCAACAUAAAUAUAUAAUGAACCUUUUACUUUUUAAAUUGUGUUUAUGUUUACUAAAUGACAAAUAUAAGUGAGUUACUACCCGCUAGCCACCGAAGCUGCAACUACUAAGCUACUAACCAACCAUAGAUAACUUCUUUGGAUCUAAAAAAACAUUUUAAAUUAGUUGACUUACCUUUAAACUUGAAAUUUGUCCUGAAGUAGCUGCCGGCUUCUGAUCUGCUGUCCUUUUGAAAAAUCUGCGGUGUAUUCUGGGUAAUUUUUGACCAAGGCUAGGCUACAAGACACCUCCCGUGUAUCCUUGCUCAGCUAGCUAAACGGCUAACAAAUGGAGAACACGCCUCGGUAGAACAUAAACAUUGGAACACGUCUUGGCAGCUCCUGAUGACGUAUCUCCUAGGCAACCGCGGGGGGG